AAGAUCAUACUUCACAGGAUCAUUUCUGUAGUAGAUCUAUCUUGCUCUGUCCUCAAAAACAGAGUUGAUGCAACCACGAUGAGGAGAAAUAGUUCCUUUCCCUGAGCGUGAGGAAGACUCGAGAAGUUGACUUUGUUCAAUUUCCCAGUCAUCGAUGAUCGUUCACCCCUUGUACUCAGUACAAGGGGCAUGGGAAGUGGAGCUUUCUGAGUGGU